rnacentral:rRNA from 1 species
UACGGGGGGGGCAAGCGUUGUUCGGAAUUACUGGGCGUAAAGGGCUCGUAGGCGGCCAACUAAGUCAGACGUGAAAUCCCUGGGCUCAACCCAGGAACUGCGUCCGAUACUGGUUGGCUUGAAUCCGGGAGAGGGACGUGGAAUUCCAGGUGUAGCGGUGAAAUGCGUAGAUAUCUGGAGGAACACCGGUGGCGAAGGCGACGUCCUGGACCGGCAUUGACGCUGAGGCGCGAAAGCGUGGGGAGCAAACAGG